rnacentral:rRNA from 1 species
UAUCUCUGUAGAGUCUGCAUAUCAAUAAGCGGAGGAAAAGAAACUAACAAGGAUUCCCCUAGUAACGGCGAGUGAAGCGGGAAGAGCUCAAAUUUGAAAUCUUCAAGGUUUGACCUUGACGAAUCGUAGUUUAAAGAAGUGUUUUCGGUUAGAGGAGUAGUAAAAGUUCUUUGGAAUAGGACAUCAUAGAGGGUGAGAAUCCCGUAUUUGACUAUUCUUUCUAGCUUUGUGAUACACUUUCAAAGAGUCGGAUUGUUUGGGAAUGCAGUCCAAAAUGGGUGGUAAAUUUCAUCUAAAGCUAAAUAUUGGCGAGAGACCGAUAGCGGACAAGUACCGUGAGGGAAAGAUGAAAAGAACUUUGAAAAGAGAGUUAAACAGUACGUGAAAUUGUCAAAAGGGAAGCGUUUGACACCAGUGUUGUUUUUCCGAAAAUCAAUUAAAAAUUGAUUCAUGCCAGGUUGUAUUGACCUUAUCAGCUUGCAAUUUGGUUUUGGGUCUCUUUUUGAUGCACUUUUCGGUUAACAAGUCAACAUCAAUUUCCUUUGCUGUAAAAAGGUAAGAGGAAGGUGGCUUCAAUUUCGGUUGAAGUGUUUAUAGCCUUUUAUCUCUGCAGUCGGGGAGAUUGAGGUCAGCAGCGUAGAUCCUUCGGGGCUAGAUACAUUUAUGCUAAGUUAUAGCUUUUCAUAGACAACUUGUUGACUAUGUUUAGUCAUGUAGCCUACUCGCUUAUGCUAUUUUACCUACGCUUAGGAUGUUGAAGACUCUACAGAGAU